GAUCCUAAAUAAAGGAAAAUUGCAAUUCUAAUGGUUGGUUUAACCAUAUUCUGAAUUUUUAAGUCCAUAUCAAACCAAGAUUUGAAUUAUCUAAAGAAAACGUGCAAAGUAAAAUUGGAAAUAAGUGUUAGUGAUGUGAAACCAGAUAUCAUAUAUAGUUAUAUUUCUCUACAAAACCACUUUCUCUGCCACCACCACUACCACAAUACACCAUCACUGCCGUCGACGCCGCCACCACACCACCACCACACCACUAACUUUUUUGCUCUCUCUUCUCAUAUCUCCAUCUCGCUAAAAAAAACCCAUCCACCUCCAUUGAACCACACACCUCUCUUUUCUCCUUACAUCAUCACCACACCUCCGGUGGUGCACGAAAGGUCGGACCAAACACACCCCCUAUCUCUCAUCCCAACCUCUCUCACCAUCGCCUGAAACAGUUUUUGUCAAUACCACCGAAAAACCUCGUCAAACCCUAGAUCCACGUAUGUGGUUUAUGGAGAAAGAAGACUGUCCUUGGUUUUAAGGUGGUCGGAAACAGAGGUAUUUACCAACAGCGGUUGUGCACCGUUCUUGCUUCAUCUUUUCACUGCUUAUGAACAUCAUACUUGUUGAUACAUAAUUGUGGAUACGGCUCGCUCGGUUCGAGUACUUUACGAAGUGAAGGCCGAGACUCGAUAUCCUCCGUCGUGUCUCGGAUUGUAAUCAACUUUGUUCUGAAUGUGGAUGCUUGCUGCUGAACUAUCUUCUGUUUGCUGCUGUCUGCAUCAAAGUUCUGCAUGACGAAAGACCUAACCUUGUAACAUGACGAAACACCUGCACCUUGGCUACAUGACGAAACACCUGGACCUUGCCUACAUGAUGAAAAUCCUAGUCCAGUCCGCAUAACGAAACAUGUGCAGUACCCAUAGACGAAACUCCUGCCAUUUAUCUUUAUGACGAAAGACCUGAUGUCUUUCGUCAGACAUGGUGUUUCGCCAUGAAUGUUUCGUCGUCUGAUGGACUUUCGUCGGCUGCUGAUGAUGCAGGCUGAAGACAGAAGAUAGUAGCAGACACAGAAGUGAAGAUAGAGAACAUAGAGAGCGCACACACACACGAGAGAACUUAGAGUUUGCUUGUGAAAGCAUAGUCGUGUGUAAUACUUGUAAUAAAAACAAACUUGCUGGUUCUAAUAUACAUGAGAUUUACU
rnacentral:lncRNA from 1 species